GCCGCCUUAGCUCAGCUGGUUAGAGCAUCUGUCUUGUAAACAGAAGGUCGUCGGUUCGAAUCCGACAGGCGGCUCCG
rnacentral:tRNA from 7 species